GAGAAUCGCAUGAACCUGGGAGGUGGAGGUUGCAGUGAGCUGAGAUUGGGUCGCUGCACUCUAGCCUGGGCAACAGAGCGAGGCUGUCUUUUUUAAAAAAAACAACUUUAUUCUGGUUUUUACAGGAAGGCAGGUAGGGAAGGCGGGCUUGGGAUCAGCUUGAGUGAUUUGGUGGCUGUGGGGCAUGGGGUAUGUCCCUGGUUGUCUGGGACCUGGCCCUGGGGUGGUUGGGGGCAGGGGAUGGUGGCCUGGAGCAUGAGGGCUCCAUAGAGAUUGUUGGGGUGUAGGCUUUGGGUGUGUCGGCUUGCACAUGAAAGGUGCACUUGCAGGCCAGGGUUUACUAUCUUCAGGAAUUGGCUGGACCUGGGAGGGCAGUCUCUUCAAGGGUCAGUUAAGGCCCCAAGAUGUCAAAGUAUCAGGAAAUACAGAAAAUAAAAAACGUGAUGAAUACAUCCAUCCACGCCAAACACAUUAUCAAUCUUCCUAAAGCUCAGCUAUGACUGUUUCACCUGCCCAUUGACACCACCAUCACCAAAGCACAGAGCUUGAGUCCUGGCUGGGGUAUCAAAGGCCUGCACACUGGUCCUUCUUUUGACACUAGCUCGUUUUGUGUGCUGGUGCUAGAAGGUCACUGAGACCUCUGCCACCCCUGAGCUUCAGGUCCCAGUUGUAGGUAGGAUAGAGACGGGACAAAAUUGUUUAUCUAAUAAAGUUGAUGGUCCGGGUGCAGUACAGGCUCAUGCCUGUAAUCCCAACACUUUGGGGGGCUGAGGUGGGUGGAUCACCUGAGGUCAGGAGUUCGAGACCAGCCUGGCCAAUAUGGCG
rnacentral:lncRNA from 1 species